AAAUUACGUAGGUGUUCGCAUGAAGAA
rnacentral:piRNA from 1 species